rnacentral:rRNA from 1 species
GACGUAGGGCGCGAGCGUUGUCCGGAUUUAUUGGGCGUAAAGAGCUCGUAGGCGGCUUGUCGCGUCGUCCGUGAAAACCUGGGGCUCAACCCCAGGCUUGCGGUCGAUACGGGCAGGCUCGAGUUCGGUAGGGGAGACGUGGAAUUCCUGGUGUAGCGGUGAAAUGCGCAGAUAUCAGGAGGAACACCGGUGGCGAAGGCGGGUCUCUGGGCCGAUACUGACGCUGAGGAGCGAAAGCGUGGGGAGCGAACAGG